AGAGUUUGAUCCUGGCUCAGAACGAACGCUGGCGGCAGGCUUAACACAUGCAAGUCGAACGCGUGUAGCAAUUCACGAGUGGCGCACGGGUGAGUAACGCGUGGAUAUCUGCCUUUUGGUUCGGAAUAACUCCGGGAAACUGGAGCUAAUACCGGAUGGUUCCUACGGGAUAAAGAUUUAUCGCCAAAAGAUGAGUCCGCGUACGAUUAGCUAGUUGGUGAGGUAAUGGCUCACCAAGGCGACGAUCCGUAGCUGGUCUGAGAGGACGACCAGCCACACUGGAACUGAGACACGGUCCAGACUCCUACGGGAGGCAGCAGUGGGGAAUUUUGGACAAUGGGCGCAAGCCUGAUCCAGCAAUGCCGCGUGCAGGAUGAAGGCCUUCGGGUUGUAAACUGCUUUUGUACGGAACGAAACGGUCUCGGUUAAUACCUGGGGCUAAUGACGGUACCGUAAGAAUAAGCACCGGCUAACUACGUGCCAGCAGCCGCGGUAAUACGUAGGGUGCGAGCGUUAAUCGGAAUUACUGGGCGUAAAGCGUGCGCAGGCGGUAAUGUAAGACAGAUGUGAAAUCCCCGGGCUCAACCUGGGAACUGCAUUUGUGACUGCAUUGCUGGAGUGCGGCAGAGGGGGAUUGAAUUCCGCGUGUAGCAGUGAAAUGCGUAGAUAUGCGGAGGAACACCGAUGGCGAAGGCAAUCCCCUGGGCCUGCACUGACGCUCAUGCACGAAAGCGUGGGGACAAACAGGAUUAGAUACCCUGGUAGUCCACGCCCUAAACGAUGUCAACUGGUUGUUGGGUCUUCACUGACUCAGUAACGAAGCUAACGCGUGAAGUUGACCGCCUGGGGAGUACGGCCGCAAGGUUGAAACUCAAAGGAAUUGACGGGGACCCGCACAAGCGGUGGAUGAUGUGGUUUAAUUCGAUGCAACGCGAAAAACCUUACCCACCUUUGACAUGUAUGGAAUCCUUUAGAGAUAGAGGAGUGCUCGAAAGAGAGCCAUAACACAGGUGCUGCAUGGCUGUCGUCAGCUCGUGUCGUUAGAUGUUGGGUUAAGUCCCGCAACGAGCGCAACCCUUGUCAUUAGUUGCUACAUUUAGUUGGGCACUCUAAUGAGACUGCCGGUGAUAAACCGGAGGAAGGUGGGGAUGACGCCAAGUCCUCAUGGCCCUUAUAGGUGGGGCUACACACGUCAUACAAUGGCUGGUACAAAGGGUUGCCAACCCGCGAGGGGGAGCUAAUCCCAUAAAACCAGUCGUAGUCCGGAUCGCAGUCUGCAACUCGACUGCGUGAAGUCGGAAUCGCUAGUAAUCGUGGAUCAGAAUGUCACGGUGAAUACGUUCCCGGGUCUUGUACACACCGCCCGUCACACCAUGGGAGCGGGUUCUGCCAGAAGUAGUUAGCCUAACCGCAAGGAGGGCGAUUACCACGGCAGGGUUCGUGACUGGGGUGAAGUCGCAACAAGGUA
rnacentral:rRNA from 1 species